rnacentral:tRNA from 1 species
GACCACGUGGCCGAGUGGUUAAGGCGACAGACUUGAAAUCUGUUGGGAUCUUCCCGCGUAGGUUCGAACCCUGCCGUGGUCG